UACGUAGGGGGCGAGCGUUGUCCGGAUUUAUUGGGCGUAAAGAGCUCGUAGGCGGUUUGGCAAGUCGGGUGUGAAAACUCAGGGCUUAACCCUGAGCCUGCUUCCGAUACGGGCAGACUAGAGGUAUGCAGGGGAGAACGGAAUUCCUGGUGUAGCGGUGAAAUGCGCAGAUAUCAGGAGGAACACCGGUGGCGAAGGCGGUUCUCUGGGCAUUACCUGACGCUGAGGAGCGAAAGUGUGGGGAGCGAACAGG
rnacentral:rRNA from 1 species